rnacentral:rRNA from 1 species
GACGAACGCUGGCGGCGUGCUUAACACAUGCAAGUCGAACGGAAAGGCCCUGCUUUUGUGUUGUACUCAAGUGGCGAACGGGUGAGUAACACGUGAGUAACCUGCCCGUUACUUUGGGAUAACUUCAGGAAACUGGGGCUAAUACCGGAGAGGAGCUCCUGCUGCAUGGUGGGGGGUGGAGAGUUUCGGCGGUUGGGGAUGGACUCGCGGCUUAUCAGCUUGUUGGUGGGGUAGUGGUUUACCAGGGCUUUGACGGGUAGCCGGCCUGAGAGGGUGACCGGCCACAUUGGGACUGAGAUACGGCGCAGAAUCCUACGGGAGGCAGCAGUGGGGAAUAUUGCCCAGUGGGCGGAAGUCUGAUGCAGAAACGCCGCGUGCGGGAUGACGGGCUUCGGGUUGUAAACCGCUUUCGCAUGUGACGAAGCGUGAGUGACGGUAAUGGGUAAAGAAGCACCGGCUAACUACGUG